rnacentral:tRNA from 1 species
GCCGGCGUAGCUCAGAGGUAGAGCAGCUCACUCGUAAUGAGCAGGUCGUGGGUUCGAUUCCCACCGCCGGCUCCA